UGCUCCCAUUAAAGCUGCUACAACUCCAAAGGAGUCUUCCACUCUCAGGGGAAGUGCUGGAGACCUUAGGCCCUUUGGUUGGAUUCUUGGGGAUAGAGAGCACACGACAGAUCCCCCUCCAGAUCCUGCUGUCCCAUCUCAGUCAGCUGCAGGGUUUCUGCCUAGGAGAGACAUUUGCCACAGACCUGGGAUGGCUGCUAUUGCAGGAGUCUGUUCUUGGGUAUGGAUCUUCGAGAACUUCAGAUUCUAACUCAUUCUGUACCCAAUCCUUCAACCACCAUCAUCAGUGGCAGCCUGUUCCAUAUUCUUAAGAUCCCUUGGAGCCCUGUGUCCCAAAUCUGAGCAUGUCCUCUUUUCCCCCUCCUUUUCCUCACAGUUCCCUCAGCUCCCCAGCCCCCGAUUUUCUUCCUGUCCCCAGGAAACCAGAGUUGUGGAGCCAGGAUGAAGUAGAGCAAGCUGGACGCCUAGUAUUCACUCUGUCUACUGAGGCAAUUUCCUUGAUCCCCAGGGUGAGAUGAAGGAAGAAGGGAAGGGAGUAAAUGCAUAGAGGGGACUGGUGAGCUGGUUAUGAGGACCCAUGGCCAAAGAGGGCAAAGGAUAUGAAGCCUAGAUCUGGGGGGAGACUGCGAAACAGAGACAGGACUUUGGAAUUAUAGCUACAGCAGCAGGCCCUGAUCUGUCCAGAUCUCCCCACUCUCCUUCUACCUUCUCAUGCAGGAGGCCUUGGGUCCAGAGACCCUGGAGCGGCUUCUAGAAAAGCAGCAGAGCUGGGAGCAGAGCACAGUUGGACAGCUGUGUAGGUGGCCACAGCUGGCUGCCAAGAAAGCAGCCCUGGUAGCAGGGGUGAUGUGACCAGCUGCUGAGGAUCUUCCAGAACCUGUGCCAAAUUGUGCAGAUGUACGAGGGACAUUCCCAGCAGCCUGGUCUGCAACCCAGAUUGCAGAGAUGAAGCUCUCAGACUUUGAGGACUGCCUGACACUAUUUGCAAAAGAUGCAGGACUUGGGCCCAAGGAAUUGUGGGCAGCCAUGGGCAAAGCAAAACAGUUGUGGGGUCCCCCCCGGGGAUUUCGUCCUGAGCAGAUCCUGCAGCUCGGUUGGCUCUUAAUAGGUCUAGGAGAUCGGGAACUACAGGAGCUGAUCCUAGUGGACUGGGGAGUACUCAGCACCCUGGGGCAGAUAGAUGGCUGGAGCUCCACUCAGGUAACACCUUUCCUCCUCCCUACCACUUCCCAAACACCCAUCCCACAGACCCAGCCCUGUAGAUCAUCU
rnacentral:lncRNA from 1 species